UUAUAUAUAGUAUAAAAAAUACAUUUAAUCUCCAAUUAAAAAUUCUAAUUAAACUUUAGUAUAUAAA
rnacentral:tRNA from 1 species